rnacentral:lncRNA from 1 species
UAAUUGAACCCACCAAGAAUAUUAUAAGUGUCUCGUUCUCCGACGCCGUGAGAUGGUCUAUAAGUAACCCUGUUGCGUUGAGUUGAAAUAUCUUCAAGAGAGUAAGUACUUUUUUUCCUAUAUCUUGAUUAACACUGUUUUUCUUCUUAAUUUUGUAAUCACGUGAAGACCCGUUUGUAGCAAAUGAGAAUACUUUUUUUAGUGUUGAGGAAUCUGUUUGCUGUAGUGAACUAUAGCUUGCUUUGUUCGUGAAUUUUGUAAGUGAUAAGGCGUUGAAAAAUCCGUUUUUGGUUCAUUGGUGAAUUUAAUUUUUUGUACUCUUGUGAUUUUUGAGGUGUUCUAGGAUGUGAGUUUAAAGUUUCUUCAUAUGGGCAGUGCUGCUUUCUUGUUUAUGUCAAUCUGAUGUAUGUUAUUAGUUCAAGAUUUAUGGAUUUGGAAGUUUGAUUUAUAGUGGGAAGUGGAAAUCUGAUACAAUUUCCAGAGGUCUCUAAUUGCUUCACUUACAUGUUAAUCGUGUCUCUCUUUCAAUGAGUCAGAAAGUUGUCGUUUAUUUUUCAUCCUGAAACCCCCUACAAUUAUGAUUCACACGGUUUCAUUUGCAGUCAUCCAGUAGAAUGAGAGGAAGAAAUUUUGGAGUUUGUCAUGGAUGUAGAAGCACCACUCACUAUUUCGAACAAUGCCAAUCAAAACAACGAUGCCCUAGUUGUGACCACGGAUAUCGGAAAUGUUUUGAGGUCGAACGGGAUACCGGUAACAAAGGGCGUUUGUUCUUCACCUGUAGUGAUGACUGUAGAUACUUUGAUUGGGUGAAAGAUGAAACUUUAGGCGAAGAAUUGAGUUCUGUUAAUCGUCCGGUAAAUCAUGCGCCCGACAAGGAAGACGAACAUUUGCCAAGACUUUUUGAUGGACUAGCUAAAAUUAGCGAGAAACGAGGCGUUGACAUAUCACUUACCAUGACUUUCAGCAAGGGAAAAGAAAUUGUCAAAUGUCACGAGCAAGGAAAGGGGUCUGGUUGAAGGGUUUAUUUAUGUAUGUAGUUCAUGAAUUGAUAUCCUUGUUCUCGGGUACAAAUGUGGUAGUUCCACUUUGACAUUGUUUCCCAGCGUAUGUAAUUAGGUGCCUAUGUACUAUGAGCAGUACUCUAAAGAAUUCCAAGUAAUUUUAUUGGUUCAUAACUUGCCA